CAGCAGACACAUUCCAGCCAAUCAGCAGCAGACCCUCCCUCUCAGUCCCUCCCACCUCCUGGACAGCAUCCAUUUUACAUUCAUUGUGAAACUGCAUUCUUAGUGAGCUGUCCAGGAAGUGGGAGGGUCUGGGAGGGAGGGUCUGCUGCUGAUUGGCUGGAAUGUGUCUGCU
rnacentral:miRNA from 1 species